GGUGGACACGUUCAAAUCGCUCAUCUCCUAUCGUCAAAUUAUCAGUUCUGUAUUUAGAUAUCGUUCGCCCGCAAAGUUUGAAGGAAAAGAAAAAUAUUUGAAAAUGCCCUGUAAAUGCGACCCUGCUAAAAAAAAGCGGGGAGAAUGUUGCUGCCACGAUGUACCACCCCUGCCGGCAGGUAGUCCUCAGCGAGCGACUAACCCCAAAUUAUGUCCAAGGAACACGACCUGCGGGACCGGGAUGCCGGGACAUUCGACACAGAGGAAAAG
rnacentral:misc_RNA from 1 species